rnacentral:lncRNA from 1 species
GCAGGCACCAUUUUCUGCUUCGCUCAGGACAGGCACAUAAAAGGAAGGCGGCUGCCGCCCGUCGCCGUCCUCUUUUCCUCAGAUGCCCUCUGCUGCAGGUGUAGAGAGGAGAGAGAGUGAACAGGGAGCGGGGCUUUUGUCUAAAAUGGUUAUUCGUCUGUAACCUCUAAAGAGGCAUUUUUCGUUUGCUGACCUGUGGUGAGGCGAUGUGUCUACUGUAUUUAAACAUAUUUUGCAGGUUGGUCUCCCUGGACUGAAGAGAGGGAGAAUAGAAGCCCAAGACUAAGAUUCUCAAAAUGGUUUAUUACCCA